AAUAGAUACCCGGGUAGUCCACGCCGUAAACGAUGAGUGCUAGGUGUUGGGGGCUUCCUGUCCUCAGUGCCGAAGGAAACCCAAUAAGCACUCCGCCUGGGGAGUACGGCCGCAAGGCUGAAACUCAAAGGAAUUGACGGGGGCCCGCACAAGCGGUGGAGCAUGUGGUUUAAUUCGAAGCAACGCGAAGAACCUUACCAAGGCUUGACAUCCCGCUGAUCCCUCUAGAGAUAGAGGUUCCCUUCGGGGCAGCGGUGACAGGUGGUGCAUGGUUGUCGUCAGCUCGUGUCGUGAGAUGUUGGGUUCAGUCCCGCAACGAGCGCAACCCUUAUCCUUAGUUGCCAGCAUUCAGUUGGGCUCUCUAAGGAGACAGCCGGUGAAAGCCAGAGGAAGGUGGGGAUGACGUCAAAUCAUCAUGCCCCUUACGUCUUGGGCUACACACGUGCUACAAUGGAUGGUACAAAGGGCAGCGAACCCGCGAGGGGAGCGAAUCCCAGAAAGCCAUUCUCAGUUCGGAUUGUAGG
rnacentral:rRNA from 1 species